CAUUCAGUAGCCUAGCUACUUGUUUAUACCCUUGUUUUUUGCGUACCUAUUGUUUCCUCGGUGGGCUUGCUCACCGGCUGGACAAACUUUAUAACCUUUUUAAAUCUUCAAUCAGCGUCUGAAUUAUACAUAAUAAUUA
rnacentral:misc_RNA from 1 species